CCUACGGGUGGCAGCAGUGAGGAAUAUUGGUCAAUGGACGAGAGUCUGAACCAGCCAAGUAGCGUGAAGGAUGACUGCCCUACGGGUUGUAAACUUCUUUUAUAUGGGAAUAAAACAGGGUAUGCAUACCCUCUUGUAUGUACCAUAUGAAUAAGGAUCGGCUAACUCCGUGCCAGCAGCCGCGGUAAUACGGAGGAUCCGAGCGUUAUCCGGAUUUAUUGGGUUUAAAGGGAGCGUAGGUGGAUUGUUAAGUCAGUUGUGAAAGUUUGGGGCUCAACCCUAAAAUUGCAGUUGAAACUGGCAGUCUUGAGUGCAGGAGAGGUGGGCGGAAUUCGUGGUGUAGCGGUGAAAUGCGUAGAUAUCACGAAGAACUCCGAUUGCGAAGGCAGCUCACCGGACUGCAACUGACGCUGAUGCUCGAAAGUGUGGGUAUCGAACAGGAUUAGAUACCCGUGUAGUC
rnacentral:rRNA from 1 species